UCGGUGGCAGCGGCGGAACGCGCUGGACGCAACGCUCUUACCUUGCUCUUCUGUUUUCUCAGACCGGAAUCGACCAAUUCACUGCGGACCGGAUCCUUUGAAUCGCGCGCCACCGGUUAUCUGGGAACGAGUGUGCUGCCACAACUGGAAAGGCCACGGCAUAUCGUUCGGCGGGGGUGUGUCCCUACAUUCGGUGGCAGCGGCGGAACGCGCUGGACGCAACGCUCUUACCUUGCUCUUCUGUUUUCUCAGACCGGAAUCGACCAAUUCACUGCGGACCGGAUCCUUUGAAUCGCGCGCCACCGGUUAUCUGGGAACGAGUGUGCUGCCACAACUGGAAAGGCCACGGCAUAUCGUUCGGCGGGGGUGUGUCCCUACAUUCGGUGGCAGCGGCGGAACGCGCUGGACGCAACGCUCUUACCUUGCUCUUCUGUUUUCUCAGGCUUCGUUUGGGUGCCGCCCUAACGCCUCACUUCACGGGAAAGUGGAAGCGAAACAACAGCAUCGUGGACCCAGCAAAUCAACCAAUAGAUUCCCCCCCCCCCCCCCAUCUGCCAUGGAGAUGACGUGCCUGCGGACACAUCUCACUUGCUGUGGAGUUGCUCAGCAGCAACAAAUAUCAGACAUCGUCGUGCAGCCCAACCCCAAGGAAACAAAAAAGACGUUUAAGAUGACGCUUCAGCGGAUACAUUCGCAUGUUCGUGCCUCUGGCAAUGAGGGAGCAGACAAAAGAGCCGCUGAAGCAGUUUCAAGCGAGGCAGCAUUGAGAGCUCCGGUGAAUCAGCAACUUCUCAGAGAGAGAGAGAGUGAACUUUAAUAAGCACCAGCAGUUUUGUCGGCUGGGCCUAGGCCUCCCACGAUGGGACGUCGAGGUCUUGCCUCUUCGCCGCUUCGUAGGCCUGCUGGGUCGCCCAGAGUUGGUCGUCGAGGUGGGAGCUGCGCAGGGCGGCGUGCCAUCUCGACGAGAGGGUCACGGGAUUAAGGUCUUGGUAUUGGUGUUUGCACUCCCAUAGCAUGUGGGGGAGUGUUGCCGAUUCAGUUUUACAGACCUUGCACGUCUGGCUCGGGUAGAUG